UCCCUGUACCCUACCGCUCUGGUCCCUGCCCCUACCGCUCUGGUCCCCUACCGCUCUGGUUCCCUGUACCCUACCGCUCUGGUCCCCUGUACCCUACCGCUCUGGUCCCCUACCGCUCUGGUCCCCUACCGCUCUGGUCCCCUGUACCCUACCGCUCUGGUUCCCUGUCCCCUACCGCUCUGGUUCCCUGUCCCCUACCGCUCUGGUUCCCUGUCCCCUACCGCUCUGGUUCCCUGUACCCUACCGCUCUGGUCCCCUGUACCCUACCGCUCUGGUCCCCUGUCCCCUACCGCUCUGGUUCCCUGUACCCUACCGCUCUCUCUCCUCCCCUGACUGUUGCUUUUUGCAUUUUAAAACACAAAUCGUGACAUGACCCAGUAACGCCCCCCCAAAAAAAAAGUAAUUCAGGGUCUUCAUGAUGGAAUUUGUUUAACAGAAAUGAAAGACCACUAUUUUCCUCCCAAAUCAAAAUCACUGCCUUGCAUUGUAGUUUGACUGUAAAUGAUCUGUGGUGACUGAGAUGGGCAGGGUUGGUCCUGUAACCUCUAUCUGGCUUUAAGGGAAAGGGGUCACCUGAGUUUUUAUUAUUUUUAUUAUUAUUUUCUUUCACUCUUUUUCAUGUGUUUUUGUUUCCUAUUUUUCUUUUGGGACGGACUAGGAUCAUCUGCUCUGUUUCCUGUUUUGUUUGUUAACCCCCCCCCCCAGUGACCCAUUAGAGUGGUGGCAGAGGGAGAGGUGUAGUCGUUCUGGUAUAGCUGUCAUGGGAGCACUUUGUGUGAUGAAUAAAGAUGUAAAAACCUGGCACGUCUCCUCUUCUCUGUUCACUCGAGGGUUUCUGUUGCAGGAGACGUGAGGCAACGCUAGCCUGGUCCCAGAUCUGUUUGUGCCGUCUUGUCACGUCCUAUGGUCUGUGUAAAGACCACACAAACAUGUGGGGACCAGGCUUGUAAAAAUCAUGUCUUGGGGAAAUCUAGAAAUGUACUGGAGAGUGUGGUGAUUUACAUAAUGGUUCACCCAGGGCUAGGGAUGGCUCACCCAGGGCUAGGGAUGGCUCACCCAGGGCUAGGGAUGGCUCACCCAGGGCUAGGGAUGGCUCACCCAGGGCUAGGGAUGGCUCAAGUCAUUUUGAUGUCGUAACGCUGUUUAUUUAC
rnacentral:lncRNA from 1 species